AUACGUAGGGGUCGAGCGUUGUCCGGAAUGAUUGGGCGUAAAGGGCGCGUAGGCGGCGCGGUAAGUCUGGAGUGAAAGUCCUGCUUUCAAGGUGGGAAUUGCUUUGGAUACUGCCGCGCUUGAGUGCAGGAGAGGUUAUCGGAAUUCCCGGUGUAGCGGUGAAAUGCGUAGAGAUCGGGAGGAACACCAGUGGCGAAGGCGGGUAACUGGACUGCAACUGACGCUGAGGCGCGAAAGUGUGGGGAGCAAACAGGAUUAGAUACCCUGGUAGUCCUCACGGUAAACGAUGAAGGCUAGGGGUAAGAGGUAUCGGCCCCUUUUGUGCCGGAGUCAACACAAUAAGCAUUCCGCCUGGGGGGUACGGCCGCAAGGUUGAAACUCAAAUGAAUGGACGGGG
rnacentral:rRNA from 1 species